rnacentral:rRNA from 2 species
UUAAGCGACUAAGCGUACACGGUGGAUGCCCUGGCAGUCAGAGGCGAUGAAGGACGUGCUAAUCUGCGAAAAGCGUCGGUAAGGUGAUAUGAACCGUUACAGCCGGCGAUGUCCGAAUGGGGAAACCCAGUGCAAUUCGUUGCACUAUCGUUAACUGAAUACAUAGGUUAACGAGGCGAACCGGGGGAACUGAAACAUCUAAGUACCCCGAGGAAAAGAAAUCAACCGAGAUUCCCCCAGUAGCGGCGAGCGAACGGGGAGCAGCCCAGAGUCUGAAUCAGCUUGUGUGUUAGUGGAACGGUCUGGAAAGUCCGACGGUACAGGGUGAUAGUCCCGUACACCAAAAUGCACAGGUUGUGAACUCGAAGAGUAGGGCGGGACACGUGGUAUCCUGUCUGAAUAUGGGGGGACCAUCCUCCAAGGCUAAAUACUCCUGACUGACCGAUAGUGAACCAGUACCGUGAGGGAAAGGCGAAAAGAACCCCGGCGAGGGGAGUGAAAAAGAACCUGAAACCGUGUACGUACAAGCAGUGGGAGCACCUUCGGGUGUGACUGCGUACCUUUUGUAUAAUGGGUCAGCGACUUAUAUUCUGUAGCAAGGUUAACCGUAUAGGGGAGCCGCAGGGAAACCGAGUCUUAACUGGGCGUUAAGUUGCAGGGUAUAGACCCGAAACCCGGUGAUCUAGCCAUGGGCAGGUUGAAGGUUGGGUAACACUAACUGGAGGACCGAACCGACUAAUGUUGAAAAAUUAGCGGAUGACUUGUGGCUGGGGGUGAAAGGCCAAUCAAACCGGGAGAUAGCUGGUUCUCCCCGAAAGCUAUUUAGGUAGCGCCUCGUGAACUCAUCUUCGGGGGUAGAGCACUGUUUCGGCUAGGGGGUCAUCCCGACUUACCAACCCGAUGCAAACUACGAAUACCGAAGAAUGUUAUCACGGGAGACACACGGCGGGUGCUAACGUCCGUCGUGAAGAGGGAAACAACCCAGACCGCCAGCUAAGGUCCCAAAGUCAUGGUUAAGUGGGAAACGAUGUGGGAAGGCACAGACAGCCAGGAUGUUGGCUUAGAAGCAGCCAUCAUUUAAAGAAAGCGUAAUAGCUCACUGGUCGAGUCGGCCUGCGCGGAAGAUGUAACGGGGCUAAACCAUGCACCGAAGCUGCGGCAGCGACACUAUGUGUUGUUGGGUAGGGGAGCGUUCUGUAAGCCUGCGAAGGUGACCUGUGAGGGUUGCUGGAGGUAUCAGAAGUGCGAAUGCUGACAUAAGUAACGAUAAAGCGGGUGAAAAGCCCGCUCGCCGGAAGACCAAGGGUUCCUGUCCAACGUUAAUCGGGGCAGGGUGAGUCGACCCCUAAGGCGAGGCCGAAAGGCGUAGUCGAUGGGAAACAGGUUAAUAUUCCUGUACUUGGUGUUACUGCGAAGGGGGGACGGAGAAGGCUAUGUUAGCCGGGCGACGGUUGUCCCGGUUUAAGCAUGUAGGCUGGUUAUCCAGGCAAAUCCGGAUAAUCAAGGCUGAGGUGUGAUGACGAGGCACUACGGUGCUGAAGUAACAAAUGCCCUGCUUCCAGGAAAAGCCUCUAAGCAUCAGGUAACAUCAAAUCGUACCCCAAACCGACACAGGUGGUCAGGUAGAGAAUACCAAGGCGCUUGAGAGAACUCGGGUGAAGGAACUAGGCAAAAUGGUGCCGUAACUUCGGGAGAAGGCACGCUGGUGUGUAGGUGAAGCCCCUGCGGGUGGAGCUGAGACCAGUCGAAGAUACCAGCUGGCUGCAACUGUUUAUUAAAAACACAGCACUGUGCAAACACGAAAGUGGACGUAUACGGUGUGACGCCUGCCCGGUGCCGGAAGGUUAAUUGAUGGGGUUAUCCGUAAGGAGAAGCUCUUGAUCGAAGCCCCGGUAAACGGCGGCCGUAACUAUAACGGUCCUAAGGUAGCGAAAUUCCUUGUCGGGUAAGUUCCGACCUGCACGAAUGGCGUAAUGAUGGCCAGGCUGUCUCCACCCGAGACUCAGUGAAAUUGAACUCGCUGUGAAGAUGCAGUGUACCCGCGGCAAGACGGAAAGACCCCGUGAACCUUUACUAUAGCUUGACACUGAACAUUGAGCCUUGAUGUGUAGGAUAGGUGGGAGGCUUUGAAGCGUGGACGCCAGUCUGCGUGGAGCCAACCUUGAAAUACCACCCUUUAAUGUUUGAUGUUCUAACGUUGGCCCCUUACCGGGGUUGCGGACAGUGUCUGGUGGGUAGUUUGACUGGGGCGGUCUCCUCCCAAAGCGUAACGGAGGAGCACGAAGGUUAGCUAAUCCUGGUCGGACAUCAGGAGGUUAGUGCAAUGGCAUAAGCUAGCUUGACUGCGAGCGUGACGGCGCGAGCAGGUGCGAAAGCAGGUCAUAGUGAUCCGGUGGUUCUGAAUGGAAGGGCCAUCGCUCAACGGAUAAAAGGUACUCCGGGGAUAACAGGCUGAUACCGCCCAAGAGUUCAUAUCGACGGCGGUGUUUGGCACCUCGAUGUCGGCUCAUCACAUCCUGGGGCUGAAGUAGGUCCCAAGGGUAUGGCUGUUCGCCAUUUAAAGUGGUACGCGAGCUGGGUUUAGAACGUCGUGAGACAGUUCGGUCCCUAUCUGCCGUGGGCGCUGGAGAAUUGAGGGGGGCUGCUCCUAGUACGAGAGGACCGGAGUGGACGCAUCACUGGUGUUCGGGUUGUCAUGCCAAUGGCACUGCCCGGUAGCUAAAUGCGGAAGAGAUAAGUGCUGAAAGCAUCUAAGCACGAAACUUGCCCCGAGAUGAGUUCUCCCUGAGACUUUAAGUCUCCUGAAGGAACGUUAAAGACGAUGACGUUGAUAGGCCGGGUGUGUAAGCGCAGCGAUGCGUUGAGCUAACCGGUACUAAUGAACCGUGAGGCUUAACCUU